rnacentral:rRNA from 1 species
AUUGAACGCUGGCGGAAUGCUUUACACAUGCAAGUCGAGCGAUGAACCUUAGCUCGCUAAGGGGAUUAGUGGCGAACGGGUGAGUAAUGUAUCGGAACGUAUCCAAUAAUGGGGGAUAACUAGUCGAAAGAUUAGCUAAUACCGCAUACGUCCUACGGGAGAAAGCUAGGGACCUUCGGGCCUGGCGUUAAUGGAGCGGCCGAUAUCUGAUUAGCUAGUUGGUGGGGUAAAGGCUCACCAAGGCGACGAUCAGUAGCUGGUCUGAGAGGACGACCAGCCACACUUGAACUGAGGCACGGUCCAGACUCCUACGGGAGGCAGCAGUGGGGAAUUUUGGACAAUGGGCGAAAGCCUGAUCCAGCCAUUCCGCGUGAGUGAAGAAGGCCUUCGGGUUGUAAAGCUCUUUCGCAAGGGAAGAAAACUUAAGCUCGAACAUAGCUUGAGGUUGACGGCACCUUGAUAAGAAGCACCGGCUAACUACGUGCCAGCCGCCGCGGUAA